AUGUUGCUUUUGGAUAUAAAUAAUUGUUAAACCUAAACAGCCUCGAUACCUCUUUCCAAAAAAGGAGAAAUUGAUACACGAUGGGAGAAAUUAGUUGAUGAUGGAGGAUCCAGAGGGGUUCUUGGGGUACAUUUAUCCCUCUACAAAAGUACCCUCAAUAAAUUCACCUUAAGAUUUUGUAGAGGGUACUACGUUUAAGAUUUCUUUCUAAAAGCAUGAUAAGGUAAGUAUAUAUAAUUAAUAUUGAGCCUCCAACCCAAGCAGCCAAUUUGAAAUUACACCCAGCCACACACUUCAGGGGGUUUUAAUUGAUAUUUAGGUGUAUUUGAUAUUUAUCCUA